rnacentral:rRNA from 1 species
UAGGGAAUCUUCGGCAAUGGGGGCAACCCUGACCGAGCAACGCCGCGUGAGUGAAGAAGGUUUUCGGAUCGUAAAGCUCUGUUGUAAGAGAAGAACGUGUGUGAGAGUGGAAAGUUCACACAGUGACGGUAACUUACCAGAAAGGGACGGCUAACUACGUGCCAGCAGCCGCGGUAAUACGUAGGUCCCGAGCGUUGUCCGGAUUUAUUGGGCGUAAAGCGAGCGCAGGCGGUUUAAUAAGUCUGAAGUUAAAGGCAGUGGCUUAACCAUUGUUCGCUUUGGAAACUGUUAAACGUGAGUGCAGAAGGGGAGAGUGGAAUUCCAUGUGUAGCGGUGAAAUGCGUAGAUAUAUGGAGGAACACCGGUGGCGAGAGCGGCUCUCUGGUCUGUAACUGACGCUGAGGCUCGAAAGCGUGGGGAGCAAACAGG